ACCCUUUCAUGUCAUUUGUUGCUUAUAGGCAACAUUGCAUAUUUCUGUCGAUAACUUCUCGAAAUAUCAAUAUUUUUACAAUUUGUUUAUUUUCGUCUCUAACGGAUAUCUGUGAGCACUAGUUUGCGAAGUUUCAUGACGAUAGCUUAACAGGUGUUCAUUUGAUAACUAGCUAAAGUUGCGUAAAAGCUUGUGAAAAAGAAAGUGACAAAAAUAAGCUUUGAAAAAGUUAAAUAAAAAGUAAACUGACUGCCAUUUCUUUAUACAAAGUGGUUUAUUUUAUAAAUAACAAAUAUACAGAGGUCUUACAGAAUCAGAAAUAAAUAAAAUUAUCAAUUUUGACUGGAAUAAUUCUGAAGAUGAGAAUGAAGAAGAAGAAGAGGAAGAGAAUUUGGAGAGAAUUAUUGAAGAAACAAUUGAAGAGGGGAAAAAAAGGGAGAAAACGUGGAAAUGAAUUUGUUAAAUGAAAUCAUUGAAGGCGGUGGAAAUGCUGAUGAAGUUGAAAAAGAAGUGCUCACAGAAAAAAUUGUCAGUGAAACGUAUGAGAAAGUAAACCUGGAUAGUUUGAGAUGGAGGUCAGCAUGCCUACAAGAAGUCAAAGAUCCUAUAAACUACUUCAAUGGUUUCUUCGAUGAUGAGAUCAUAACGAAGAUUUGUACCGAAACAAAUCUUUAUUCUAUGCAAACGAAUGGCGUAGAGCUUCAUUGUGCACCUUUCGAAAUCAGACGAUUUAUUGGCGUACUUCUUUAUUUGGGCGUGAUACAAGUUCCAAAUAUGUGAAUGGCUUGGACGCCAAACCUCAAAUUAUCAGCUGUUGCGGAUUCUUUAUCCAGAACACGGUUUGAGAAAAUCAAAGGAGCCUCUCACCUAAAUGAUAGCAGCCGCAACCAGGAUCACCCGAUUACGACAAGCUAUAUAAAAUACGUCCAUUAUUGGCCAAACUGAAGGAGAAAUGCAACAAAUUACAGCAGGAAGAACAUCAGAGCAUAGAUGAACAGAUGAUAAAAUUUAAGGAACGUCACAGUCUAAAGCAAUACUUACCCAUGAAACCCAAUAAAUGGGGUUUUAAAAUGUUUACAAGAGCUGGAGUUUCAGGCAUCGUAUACGAUUUUGCUCUCUAUGUUGGAGAUGGAACAUGUCCAUCUUUUGGAUUGGGUAUUUCGUCAGAUAUUGUGUUGUAUUUGGCUAGUUGUGCCUAGAGACAAAAAUUAUAAGUUAUUUUUCGAUAAUUGGUUUUCUUCCAUAAGCCUGAUGAUUGCACUCAAAGAACGAGGUAUUUUAGCAGCAGCAACAAUACGAGGCAAUCGGAUUAAAAACUGUAGCCUUAUGAAUGAAAAUGACCUCUUGAAAAAAGGUCGGGGAUCAUACGACUUCAAGUAUGAAGCUGUACAUAAUUUAGCUGCCUGUCGCUGGUACGAUAACAAAGGUGUGCAACUUUUGUCAAAUUAUAUAGCUGAAAAUCCGGUUUCACAAUGCAGACGCUGGUGUCGUAAACAAAAAAAGUACAUACAUAGUUAGAUGUACCUAGACCGGCUGUUGUUGAAUGUUAUAACAAGCACAUGGGAGGUGUAGACUUGACUGACAUGUUGUUAGACUUAUAUAAAAUCAACCACCGUUCUAAGAAAUGGUAUAUGCGCAUAGUUUACUGGUGCAUCAGCACAGUGGUAGUCAAUAGCUGGUUGCUGUAUAGACGAGACCUAAAAAAUCAAGUCACACGAACGAAAUAUAUGACAUUGCUGGAUUUUCAAUUAUCCAUAGCAAACCAGCUUCUUCACGCGUCUAAUAUUACGUCAAUAAACCCAUGUAAAAGAGGUCGUCCAUCGGAAAUACCUGAAAGAAUGGAACCAGGUUCAUCUUCACCAGCGUCGCCGGUACCAUCUAACGUGUCAGAAAUUUCAAUGAGCUCUUCGUCGUCAAAGCGAUCAUACAUAAGUGAACCCCCAAAGUCGAUUCGCCUUGAUCAAACCGGUCAUUGGAUUGAAUGGGGAGGAAAAGGAAGGUGUAGAUUAUGCCAGACUGGUAUUCCAAAAUCUAAAUGCUCAAAAUGUAAGGUGCACUUAUGCUGUAACCCACAGAAAAACUGUUUUGUCUCAUAUCACAUAUAAAAUGUAUGAAAAGUAAUACAAAAAAAUGAAAACUA